GCUUCCAUAGCAUAGUUUGGUUAAUGCCUCGUGCUUAUAGAUGUGUUCGACCCUUUGGGUUAAAUUAGCUACGCGAAGAUCGUGAGUUCGAUCCUCACUGGAAGCA